GAUUAACGCUGGCGGCGUGCCUAACACAUGCAAGUCGAGCGGCAGCGAGUUUUACACUGAAUUCUGGAAGCUUCUAGUUGAAAGAGAAGAUUUAUUCAAGAAUUUUGUGUAAAAUGUCGGCGAGCGGCGGACGGCUGAGUAACGCGUGGGAACGUACCCCAAAGUGAGGGAUAACGCAUCGAAAGGUGUGCUAAUACCGCAUAUGGUCUUCGGAUUAAAGCCUUCGGGCGCUUUGGGAACGGCCUGCGUAAGAUUAGAUAGUUGGUGGGGUAAUGGCCUACCAAGUCGACGAUCUUUAACUGGUUUGAGAGGAUGAUCAGUCAGACUGGAACUGAGACACGGUCCAGACUCCUACGGGAGGCAGCAGUGAGGAAUCUUCCACAAUGGGCGAAAGCCUGAUGGAGCAACGCCGCGUGCAGGAUGAAGGCCUUCGGGUUGUAAACUGCUUUUAUAAGUGAGGAUUAUGACAGUAACUUAUGAAUAAGGAUCGGCUAACUACGUGCCAGCAGCCGCGGUCAUACGUAGGAUCCGAGCGUUAUCCGGAGUGACUGGGCGUAAAGAGUUGCGUAGGUGGUUUAAUAAGCGAAUAGUGAAAGCUGGUGGCUCAACCAUUCAGGUUAUUAUUCGAACUGUUGAACUCGAGAGCAGAAGAGGUAGCUGGAAUUUCUAGUGUAGGAGUGAAAUCCGUAGAUAUUAGAAGGAACACCGAUGGCGUAGGCAGGCUACUGGGCUGUUUCUGACACUGAGGCACGAAAGCGUGGGGAGCGAACCGGAUUAGAUACCCGGGUAGUCCACGCCGUAAACGAUGGAUACUAGCUGUUUGGGGUAUCGACCCCCUGAGUAGCGAAGCUAACGCGUUAAGUAUCCCGCCUGUGGAGUACGAUCGCAAGAUUAAAACAUAAAGGAAUUGACGGGGACCCGCACAAGCGGUGGAUCAUGUUCUUUAAUUCGAUGAUAACCGAUAAACCUUACCAGGUCUUGACAUCCUUGGAAUCUUUCAGAAAUGAGAGAGUGCUUUUUAAGAGCCAAGUGACAGGUGAUGCAUGGCCGUCGUCAGCUCGUGUCGUGAGAUGUUUGGUUAAGUCCAUCAACGAGCGCAACCCUUGUCAGUAGUUGUAUUUUUCUACUGAGACUGCCCCGGUAACGGGGAGGAAGGAGGGGAUGACGUCAGGUCAGUAUUUCCCUUACGUCCUGGGCUAGAAACGUGAUACAAUGGCUAGUACAAUGCGCAGCGAAGCCGCGAGGUGAAGCAAAUCGCAUCAAAGCUAGUCCCAGUUCGGAUUGUAGGCUGAAACUCGCCUGCAUGAAGUCGGAAUCGCUAGUAAUCGCAGAUCAGCAUGCUGCGGUGAAUACGUUCCCGGGUCU
rnacentral:rRNA from 1 species